rnacentral:rRNA from 1 species
AGUUCAGAGUACGUGAACCGUUCAGGGGUAAACCUGAGAAACCCAAAAGAUCGAAUGGGGAGAUUCAUCGUCAGCUCAUUUUGUAUAUGUAUAAGUUAUGAUGCGAGUUACUCUUGUAGUAUUGCUUGCACAUAUUUGUACAUUUAUUCGCAAGAUGUUGUCGGCGUGCACUUCUCCCCUAGUAGGACGUCGCGACCCGUUGGGUGUCGGUUUACGAGCCAAGUGAAAGCCUUUAUUGUUUGUUUCAAACAUUAAAGAUCCUUGGUUUUCUGACCGGCUGCUUGGCGGUACUCGUACGGUAUUUAGCCGCUUUUAUGCGUCCAUGUCCGUCGCAAGCAGGGUUAGUUUCUGGUAGUACGGACCUGGUGCCGUCGCUGGAUCUAACCAGCUGUUGGUUGUACGGUAUUCUGGGACUGGGCUAAGAAUAUAUUACCGGUCGGCGAUGCUACUGCUUUGGGUACUUUCAGGACCCGUCUUGAAACACGGACCAAGGAGUCUAACUUGUGCGCGAGUCAUGGGGAUUUUUUUUAAAUUAAACCUAACGGCUAAUGAAAGUAAAGGCCUCUUGCGCCACGAGAGGAUAAGUUAUUUUAAAAUCUUCACUCCCGGGGUCAUUCU